GGUCUACGGACCUGAAGUGAGUAAUCCCAAGCUUCCAGGAAAAGCCUCUAAGCUUCAGUUCACAACUGACCGUACCGCAAACCGACACAGGUGGGUAGGUAGAGAAUACCAAGGCGCUUGAGAGAACUCGGGUUAAGGAACUCGGCAAAUUGACACCGUAACUUCGGGAGAAGGUGUGCCCCGGUAGCGUGUAGGACUUCGCGUCCGAAGCGUGAUGGGGUCGCAGAGAAUAGGUGGCUGCGACUGUUUAAUAAAAACACAGCUCUGUGCCAACACGAAAGUGGACGUAUACGGAGUGACGCCUGCCCGGUGCCGGAAGGUUAAGUGAUGGGGUGCAAGCUCUUGAUCGAAGCCCCGGUAAACGGCGGCCGUAACUAUAACGGUCCUAAGGUAGCGAAAUUCCUUGUCGGGUAAGUUCCGACCCGCACGAAUGGCGUAACGAUGGCCACACUGUCUCAACCCGAGACUCAGCGAAGUUGAAAUGUUUGUGAAGAUGCAAUCUCCCCGCUGCUAGACGGAAAGACCCCGUGAACCUUUACUGUAGCUUUGCAUUGGACUUUGAACAGGCUUGUGUAGGAUAGGUGGGAGGCUUUGAAGCUGAGACGCUAGUUUCAGUGGAGCCGUCCUUGAAAUACCACCCUGGUGUGUUUGAGGUUCUAACCUGGGUCCAUCAUCUGGAUCGGGGACCGUGCAUGGUAGGCAGUUUGACUGGGGCGGUCUCCUCCCAAAGUGUAACGGAGGAGUUCGAAGGUUACCUAGGUACGGUCGGACAUCGUACUGAUAGUGCAAUGGCAAAAGGUAGCUUGACUGCGAGACCGACAAGUCGAGCAGGUGCGAAAGCAGGACAUAGUGAUCCGGUGGUUCUGAAUGGAAGGGCCAUCGCUCAACGGAUAAAAGGUACUCCGGGGAUAACAGGCUGAUUCCGCCCAAGAGUUCAUAUCGACGGCGGAGUUUGGCACCUCGAUGUCGGCUCAUCACAUCCUGGGGCUGUAGCCGGUCCCAAGGGUAUGGCUGUUCGCCAUUUAAAGUGGUACGUGAGCUGGGUUUAAAACGUCGUGAGACAGUUUGGUCCCUAUCUGCAGUGGGCGUUGGAAGUUUGAGGGGGGCUGCUCCUAGUACGAGAGGACCGGAGUGGACGCAUCUCUGGUGUACCGGUUGUGACGCCAGUCGCAUCGCCGGGUAGCUAUAUGCGGAAGAGAUAAACGCUGAAAGCAUCUAAGCGUGAAACUCGCCUCAAGAUGAGACUUCCCUGGAGACUUGAUCUCCCUGAAGGGCCGUGGAAGACCACUACGUUGAUAGGUCGGGUGUGGAAGCGCAGUAAUGCGUUAAGCUAACCGAUACUAAUUACCCGUGAGGCUUGAUCCU
rnacentral:rRNA from 1 species